rnacentral:lncRNA from 1 species
ACUGACAGAAUGAUAGCAUCACCUCAAGCAUGUAACCGUGGGAGUUAGUCUUUCACUAAUGAUUUGGUAAGCUGUCCAUACUGCCUCGAGGGGGGAAGUUUUUAUCAUUGCUUUUUGGUUGUGUUUAUGUAAGAGGCAUGGAGGGAGCUGGAACUAAUUUGUGAUUUCUCCUGGCCAUUUUUUCUUCUAAAAAGAGCAAGUUUCCUGGUGAUCAAACAUUGUAGAUCAGAAAUGUUCUUCAUCGAUGCCCAUCCCAAUUGCUAACAAUUCUUUUGCACACUCAGGUUUGUGCUUUUCUGUGGUAAUUUACUAAACAUACUCUGGGUUAUCAUCCUUUGACAUAUACUUAUGCCCUCCCCUACACAUUAUUUUUAGGUUGCCAAAUAUAGUACGAAGGAACUAUAGCAAGUGAAUUGUUGAGUUUGCCAAGCAUAAUGGCACACCUAAUUUUGGCAGAUCAUCUAAAGAGGAUAUCGUGCAAAACUAGUAAUGGCGCACCACGUAACAGGUGCGCCAUUAGUAACCAGGGUUACUAAUGGCGCAUUGUUAGGUGGUGCGCCAUUACAAACUUUCUUUGCACCCUCUGGACCGCCUUUUCAGUUAUAGAAAAAAUAAAAGAAAAUGAUGGAAAUGUCAAAAAAAAUAAAAAAUAAGUUUCCCAUGUGAUAUGUGGUCUAGUAGUUGGCAAAAUUUACAAAUAUGAAUUUCGACUUUAUUUUGUAAAAUCUCUUUGGAAUUUAGUAGAAUGGGCAUAACUUUUGCAUAAGAACUCGGAUUAAAAAGUUUUUUAUAUGAAAAAUCAUCUACUUGAAAAGUUUUUUAUAUGAAAGAUACGGGGCUUUUAAGAUCUAGAGGGGGCGGAUGAAAAAAAUCAAACUUACUAGUGGCGCACCAUUUGCUAGGUCCGCCACUAGUAAGAAAAAAUUGGUUUUGAAUUUGUUUUUUUUUUUAAAUUCAAAAUAUGAUACGUAAUAUGACCGGGAAGUUUGAAAUAUUUUUUCAAUAUUUAAUCACACUCAUGAACAUGAACAAAGUCCUAGACAUCAACAAGGUUUAAUAGGAUUGAUAUGAUAGAUAUAUCAACAAGUGCGUGUGAAGUGAGCUGGUCCUGGGGUUGGAUAGAACUGCAAGUUAAGCGUGCUCGGGCUAGAGUAGUGUGAGUAUGGGUGACCUUCCGGGAAGUUUGACCACAGAGUGCGAUUUGCAGUAAGGCACUUAUGCCAUCCAUGUAUGAUUUGUGCAGCCAUCAUCUGUAGCAUUGGCUGGAGCCGUCAUCCAAAACAGUUUCACUGAUUCUGAGGUAAGCAACGUGAUUUUUCCAUGUGUUGAUUCAAUCUGGAAAAGUCAAGAUCACAAAUGCUUUUAGGAUUGAUUAAUGAAUUGAAUUACAGGAGUAUUGGACGUCCAGACCUUUUUAGGGACCUUCUAGAAUUAAGAUUUGACAUGAAACAAAUUGUUUUCUACGUUAUACUGUCAUUGCUAACAUUGUUGAUCUCGAGCUGCAUCCUCCAUAAUAGUGACUUCAAAUCUGAGGCUGGCUAGAAGAACAUAUCUCCAUCAGUGCCGUUACCCCUCUGGAAAAUUGUCAUGCUAGCCACCUGACGCUCAUCAUAUCCUCUCCCUCGUGGCAUCCAGCUUUGCAGCAGGGACCAAAAGGUGCUCCAUCACCGGAUUCAUCAUAUUGGAAUCCUCUCUUCUUGUGUGGUUUAGUCAACUUUGUUUUCCUAUAUGGUACAGUUGGGGUCUAGAUCGAAGUCGGCUGAGCUAUUGGGUGGCUCUGAAGAUGUGUUUGUGUUAGAGAUUAGUUUACAUGCAAAGUAAGUUCUUUAAGAAAAGUAUUACUGCGCACCACUCCAAUUUGUUCUUUGAACUGACAAGAUCUGGUCCAGUAGUACUGCUGCAAAUCUGAGGCAAGAUGUUAUGCCUGUUUCUAUUAUCCUGCACAAUAAGCAAUAUGUGUGUCCUCACCAUAGUGAUGGAGCACAUACACUUCAAAUCAUCAGUUCUCUUGUUCCCCAAAAUAAAUUCAUUCAUUCUAACCAUUAGCCAUAUAAUUGUACAGAUAGACCAUAUAAAUGGGAUUCUUUCUGUAAAUAGAAAUCAACCUGAUUUGAUUAUGUUUCAUGUCCAUAAUAGUUUUCUAUUGGUAGAAAAAACAUAAACAUGUACAUACAGAUUAUAUUUCUGCUCAUUGCAAGAGGAUAUGAUGAUUUCUACUAUUAUACUGACAGAAUGAUAGCAUCACCUCAAGCAUGUAACCGUGGGAGUUAGUCUUUCACUAAUGAUUUGGUAAGCUGUCCAUACUGCCUCGAGGGGGGGGGAGUUUUUAUCACUGCUUUUUGGUUGUAUUUAUGUAAGAGGCACGGAGGGAGCUGGAACUAAUUUGUGAUUUCUCCUGGCCAUUUUUUCUUCUAAAAAGAGCAAGUUUCCUAGUGAUCAAACAUUGUAGAUCAUAAAUGUUCUUCAUCGAUGCCCAUCCCAAUUGCUAACAAUUCUUUUGCACACUCAGGUUUGUGCUUUUCUGUGGUAAUUUACUAAACAUACUCUGGGUUAUCAUCCUUUGACAUACACUUAUGCCCUCCCCUACACAUUAUUUUUAGGUUGCCAAAUAUAGUACGAAGGAACUAUAGCAAGUGAAUUGUUGAGUUUGCCAAGCAUAAUGGCACACCUAAUUUUGGCAGAUCAUAUAAAGAGGAUAUCGUGCAAAGAUGCUUUGAGAUUUACCCAUGACUAUAUGAGGUUCCUAUAAACUCCUGCUGCAUGUUUAAUGAUUGCCACAAUAGUCUUUUAAUGCACCAGAGAAUUAUAUGUUUUGUAUCAGGUAAAUAAUUCUUUUCUCACUGUUAUUUUUCCAAAUCAAGAUCGAGAUAUAGACAAGGGGUAAUGGCAGUUCGUGCAGUGGCAGAGUUCUGGGGAGGCUGCCGGUGUCGUUGUCGAGCGCUGGGGAGGCUACUGGUGCCAUGGCCGAGCGAUGGGGCGAGCUGCCGUGGUGGAUGUGGGAGAGUGACCAGUAAGGCAAGACAGAGUUGUGCUGUUGGUUAUGUCCAUGGCGAGGUUCCAUGAGAUGGCAUAAAAUUUAUUGGAGGAUAUACAUAAUGACUGCGGCUGAGAAUAAUAUUGCUACUCCUGCAAUUUUGUAUCAUGUGUGAGAGGAUAGAACAGAGAGAAGGAAUAUGAUGCAAUUUUGUUUGCUAUAUGCUUUGUGUGCGAUGCUUUUGUACGGAGAGAGACACUUCAUGUGAUGUUGCUAUGUGGCCUUCUAUGCUCUGAUGUGUGCUAACUUUGUACAAGGGACAUUCAUAUAUUGGAAUUCAGAUUUGGAGCAAUUUUGUUCGUUUUGCUUUGUACUGAUGCUGCCCCUAUUUGUGUGAUGUUGCCAUUAUUGUAGAGAGAAAAUACAGUGAGAGGUGGAUAGAAAUCGCUAUCUAUUUUGUGUUGAAAUUGUUUGUUGUCAAAGCUUAUUGUUUAUUGUUGCAGAUUGUUGUGACGGAAAAUCAACAAUAUUUGUUUUUCGGCACAUAACUGCGUAUGCGGCUGGACUCUUUAUACAUUGUAAUUAUGUAGCCACGGAUCGCGCCAAAGCGUAGCCAACCUUAGUCUAAGGAGAUAGAGAAGUACUGACAAGGUGGCUCGUUCGUAAGUUUGAGCGGGCCAUAAGCUCGCUGCUCUUGGUGGCUUCCAGCAAAGAACUGCAUGCUGGCUGGGAU